rnacentral:rRNA from 1 species
CACGCCGUAAACUAUGGAUGCUAGCUGUUAUCGGUAUCGACCCCGGUAGUAGCGAAGCUAACGCGUUAAGCAUCCCGCCUGUGGAGUACGGUCGCAAGACUAAAACAUAAAGGAAUUGACGGGGACCCGCACAAGCGGUGGAGCGUGUUGUUUAAUUCGAUGGUAAGCGAAGAACCUUACCCAGGUUUGACAUCCUUGGAAUUUCUCCGAAAGGAGAAAGUGCUUUUAGAGCCAAGUGACAGGUGU